AUGACGAUUUCGAACGGAGAGAAAAUGGAAAUAAUUAAGGUAAAGGGACGUGAUACAAAUGAAGGUAGUCAUCGCGCCGUUGAGAGAAGAAUCAGAAACAGAGCAAAUCACGAGCGGAGAAAUUGGAGUCCAGUGGAAAAUUCAUCGGAGAUUGAACCGAAAGUUGAAACGGCGGAGGUAAAACAAAAAGGAUGGUUGAGCAGGCUUUGGACCGGGUUGUAUUUCGCUAAGCCCAUGGUUUAUUUUUGA